rnacentral:rRNA from 1 species
AUGCAGUGGUUGUACAAGUGCACAAUCCAGAUGCCAUUCUUUGUGAAGGGAAUUGGAAUAGGCAGUAGUACCUUUAUUGUCAACGUAGUGGUCAUGGUCGCGACGCAGUCACAGGGCAAAGGUGGAGGCCAUGACGACCCUCGUUGGAUAGGACCUAGCUGGCUCCAGCUUGCCACCGUCAAGGCCCACCACAACAGCGAGCUCUCCUUUGUGCUGCACACAGAAAAGGGGUGGAUCCGGAUCGAACACACACACACACACACAGAGAAAGGGAAGGAUCAGGAGGCACUCCUGUGCGUAAGGGAGGGAUGGGACUCGAGGGAGUUGACCGACCAAUGGAGAGUGGAUGCAGCAGAGGAGGAGGAGGAGAGAGAGGAGUUAGGGGAAGGUGCGGCACCGGCGUAG